GACCAUGUGGCCUAAUGGAUAGAGUGUCUGACUUCAGAUCAGAAAACUGAGAGUUCAAGUCCCUUUAUAGUUA
rnacentral:tRNA from 1 species